rnacentral:rRNA from 1 species
UACGAAGGGGGCUAGCGUUGCUCGGAAUUACUGGGCGUAAAGGGCGCGUAGGCGGCCUGUUAAGUCGAACGUGAAAUCCCUGGGCUCAACCCAGGAACUGCGUCCGAUACUGGCAGGCUUGAAUCCGGGAGAGGGAUGUGGAAUUCCAGGUGUAGCGGUGAAAUGCGUAGAUAUCUGGAGGAACACCGGUGGCGAAGGCGGCAUCCUGGACCGGUAUUGACGCUGAGGCGCGAAAGCCAGGGGAGCAAACGGG